rnacentral:rRNA from 1 species
GGCUCAGAUUGAACGCUGGCGGCAUGCCUUACACAUGCAAGUCGAACGGCAGCACGGGGCAACCUGGUGGCGAGUGGCGAACGGGUGAGUAAUGCAUCGGAACGUGCCAUUGAGUGGGGGAUAACGUAGCGAAAGUUGCGCUAAUACCGCAUAUUCUGUGAGCAGGAAAGCAGGGGACCGCAAGGCCUUGCGCUCUUUGAGCGGCCGAUGUCAGAUUAGCUAGUUGGUGAGGUAACGGCUUACCAAGGCGACGAUCUGUAGCGGGUCUGAGAGGAUGAUCCGCCACACUGGAACUGAGACACGGUCCAGACUCCUACGGGAGGCAGCAGUGGGGAAUUUUGGACAAUGGGCGCAAGCCUGAUCCAGCCAUGCCGCGUGAGUGAAGAAGGCCUUCGGGUUGUAAAGCUCUUUCGGCCGGGAAGAAAUCGCAUGGGUUAAUACCCUGUGUGGAUGACGGUACCGGAAUAAGAAGCACCGGCUGACUACGUG